GUGACGGUAGCUUAAAUGGUUAAAGCCCUACGCUGUGAACGUAGAUGAUGUCAGUUCGACUCUGAUCCGCCACCCCA
rnacentral:tRNA from 1 species